GAUGAACGCUGGCGGCGUGCUUAGCACAUGCAAGUCGAACGGUGAAGCAGGAGCUUGCUCUUGUGGAUCAGUGGCGAACGGGUGAGUAACACGUGAGCAACCUGCCCCUGACUCUGGGAUAAGCGCUGGAAACGGCGUCUAAUACUGGAUAUGUGAUGUGACCGCAUGGUCUGCAUCUGGAAAGAAUUUCGGUUGGGGAUGGGCUCGCGGCCUAUCAGCUUGUUGGUGGGGUAAUGGCUCACCAAGGCGUCGACGGGUAGCCGGCCUGAGAGGGUGACCGGCCACACUGGGACUGAGACACGGCCCAGACUCCUACGGGAGGCAGCAGUGGGGAAUAUUGCACAAUGGGCGGAAGCCUGAUGCAGCAACGCCGCGUGAGGGAUGACGGCCUUCGGGUUGUAAACCUCUUUUAACAGGGAAGAAGCGAAAGUGACGGUACCUGCAGAAAAAGCACCGGCUAACUACGUGCCAGCAGCCGCCGUAA
rnacentral:rRNA from 1 species